AAUGCAUGUAUCACUGCUUACUUCACUACUGUGUGAUUUUAGAAUUUAUGAUAUGAUUGUAUUACCGGGUGAAUGUUUACUAUUUAUGUGAUUAUAUUCAACUUAGUAACGGAGACUAAGGACAAAUAGGAAUGGGAUGUGAUUUGAUAAAUUGAUAAGAUGACAACAUUACUACAUAUCUUAGGAGAUGGUGGACGGACUGGGUUCAUAGGGAACCCUACCGUGAACAUUGUCUCAUACCGGACAUGAUAUGGAGAGUUGGUCAUUUGGCGCUCAUACCGGAUGGGGUAUGGAGACAGUCCGCUUCACCCUCAUACCAGACGGGGUAUUGAGGUUUAUUGUUUUGGUGCCCAUACCGGACGGGGUAUGGGACGACCCUGGAAUUAAGGUUGUUAAGAAGAGUGGUUCACGUGUAGCGGGGAGACUCCUAUGGAUCCCCAUGGAUAUUAAUAGGCUGGUAAAAAUAAGAAACAAUGAUAAUCAGUUAUUGUUAAUGAAUACGGAUUUAUGAUAUCUUUUAUGUUACUGAUUAUGCAUGAAAUUAUGAUCUGUAUGAUGUUAUUGUCUUUAUAGGUUGUUUUCAUAGGUUCUCCAAGGGUAAGAAAAAGAGUAAAUGGUUUUAUUUUAAAUAAAUGUAUUGCUUUAAAAUUUGUGCUCCAUUGGUUGUUUUGUUUUCUACCAACCUUCACUUCUGUGACGGUGAUAUAGUGUGAUGUCUUUACUGGGCUAGUGUAGCUCAUUCCUUAUUUAACCAUUUCAGAUCAGGAGGACCUUGUUCCCGAGCCUGAUCCACAAGAAGACGGUGAGUAGAUGCUAAACGCUUUAUAGUUUCCUUUAUUUUUCUUAUUUCUCGUAUUUCUUUUAGAGAACUUAUUCCGUGAUAUUGUUUAGUACUUUUAAGUUAUUCUGUAAGGGAUGUUAAUCUUAAUUUUUUAUUUUCGCUUCUGCAGUUAAAUUAUUAUAUGUAUUUCUUUUUGAAUUUCCGGGGUCGUUACAGUUGGUAUCAAAGCUGCGUUCCUCGGACCCGUCCCUUACAUAAUAAUACUUAGAGAAACACCAAAUAAUGAAUUAUCACUCAACUCUUCCUUGUGAAUCAAGUAUAGAGAGAUGAGAAGAGGAAGACCCUCACUAAAUCGGACAGCCUGGGAGGGUUUGCUCAGGGAAGACAUGGACAAGAUAUUUGAGAUGUUAGAAAGACUCAUUGCGGCCCAGCAGAGCCGAAAGGAGAGGACAGAGCUGCCUGACCCUCCCUCGCUGCUACAGGUUGAGCCACCACUGCAGCGAGAUGAUCCUGAGCCAUCUCGGUACAACCCUGAUUCUCUACAGUACUGCCUGGUGCCACUGUUGCAGUAUAAUUUGGUGCCCCAGUCACAGUACUGCCCGACACUGCCACAGUAUAAUCCAGUGCCCCCGCCAUAUCAGCAAGUACCACCACAGGGCCCCCCAGUCUAUCAUCAGCUUGGCCUAGUCCCUCUUCCACGUGACCCAGUUCCUCUCAUAAUUGACCCAGACUACAUAGAGAGGUACAGGAGGCUGAACCCAUCUAUUUUUGCAGGGGAAUCCUCUUUUGAAGAUGCCCAGUACUAGUUAGCGGAGACGGAGAAGGCCUUCAAGACCCUAGGGGUGACUCCCGAGCAGAGAGUCACCAUCGCUACCUAUAUGCUGGUGGGAGAAGCAGACCGCUGGUGGGAACUCAAGCAGACCACCUUCCAUGUUCCAGUUACUUGGGAACAGUUCUUAGCAGCCUUUCAUGCAGAGUACCUCCCAGAGCACAUCCGACAUCUUAAGGAGAUGGAGUUUGUCUAGUUGGUCCAGGGGAACAUGACUGUGUCAGAAUAUGCUCGCAAGUUCCUGAAGUUGGGUCGAUACUCUCCUGAGACGUCGAUGGAUGGAGGUAGGAAGGCUAGGAGGUUCCAAUGGGGCCUCCACCCAAAGAUCAAACAACAUUUAUUUAUACUAGAGCUCAGAACUUAUUCGGCCAUUCUAGCCAAGGCACAAUUAGUGGAGAGGAGCCUCCACACCCUCCCUCAGUCAGUAGGGAGCCAUAGACCCUCAGGUCUGCUCUGAAGACCAGCACCUACUGCACUUGUCCAACAGAACAAGAGGUCCAGACUGGUGAUCCAGGCUCCCUAUUAGGCUCUAGUGGCAAGACAUGGUAAGAUCUGUCAGCAUUGCGGCAGGGAUCACGGGGACCGACCAUGCUACCGCCUCAAUAACAUCUGUCGCAUAUGUGGUAGUGCCCAACACUAUGCGAGAGAGUGCCCAAGGAACCAGAAUCAGGGCAGACCUCCUAUCCAGGGCAGGGCUUACAACCUCACCCAGCAGGAUGCCGAAGCCGACCCAGACGUGGUACAGGGCAAACCUAAGAAAGUGAAUUAUAUUCAAGAGAUUUCGGUAGUCUGAGACUUUUUAGAUGUGUUUCUGGAUGAACUACCUGGACUGCCAAUGGAUAGGGAAGUCGAGUUCAUCAUAGAUCUACAGCCAGACACCCAGCCUAUUUCGGUUGCUCCUUACCGCAUGAAUCGCGUUGAGAUGGAGGAGCUGAGGAAACAGAUCACUGAAUUGCAAGACAGUAGUUUUAUCAGACAUAGUGUGUCCCCUUGGGGUGCUGGAGUCAUGUUUGCUAGAAAGGGAGAUGGAAUGUUGAGACUAUGUAUUGAUUACAGAGGAUUGAACAGGGUUACAGUCAAGAACAAGUAUCCCCUUCCCAACAUUGAUGACCUCUUCGAUCAGUUGCAGGGUACGCAGGUCUUCUCCAAAAUAGACCUGCGAUCAGGUUACCAUCAGGUGAAAAUAAAGACAGAAGACAUCCCCAAGACGGCUUUUCGAACCAAGUACGGACACUAUUAGUUCCUGGUCAUAACAUUUGGGCUAACCAACAUUCCCCAACCAUCUUCAUGGAUAUAAUGAACAGGGUCUUCAGACAAUUCUUAGAUCAAUUUGUUAUCGUGUUCAUCGAUGACAUCCUAGUCUACUCAAAAAGCAGAGAGGAACAUGCACACCAUCUAGCUCAGGUUUUGCAGGUUCUUAGAAGAAAGAAGCUGUAUGCAAAGUUAAAUAAGUGUGGAUUCUAGCUUGAGCAGACCACCUUCCUAGGACACAUCAUAUCAAAGGAUGAAGUAUCAGUGAAUCCUAAAAAGGUUGAAGCAGUACUCGGCUGGGAGAAAUUGACAUCAGUUAAAGAAAUCCGUAGCUUUCUGGGAAUGGUGGACUAUUACCGAAGGUUCGUUGAAGGAUUUUCUAGUCUAGCUGCUCCCCUAACCCGACUCACAAAGAAGAAAGCCAAGUUUGAGUGGAAUGAAGACUGUGAAAGAAGUUUUUCAGAACUAAAGAAGCGGCUGACUACUGCGCCUGUGCUGGCCUUACCGAGUGGAUCGGGGGGAUAUAUAGUUUACAGUGAUGCCUCUUAUCUAGGCUUGGGUUGUGUUCUAAUGCAGCAUGGGAAGGUCAUAGCCUAUGGGUCCAGACAGUUAAAGAGUCAUGAGAAAAAUUAUCCCACCCAUGACUUAGAGCUUGCCGCAAUCAUACAUACCUUGAAGACUUGGCGCCAUUAUUUAUAUGGAGAGACCUUUCAAAUCUAUACCGAUCACAAGAGUUUGAAACACAUAUUCACUCAAAAGGAUCUCAACAUGCGUUAGAGAAGGUGGAUAAAACUUCUUAAGGACUAUGAUUGUGACAUGUUAUACCAUCCAGGUAAGGACAACAUGGUAGCCGAUGCACUCAGCAGAAAAAGUGCAGGUAUCUUAGCCCAUUGAUGGUUUCAGAAUGCAAAAAAAUUGGGGCCACACAAUAGGUUCGACUUUAGGACUUGAUGAGAGUCACAUGUUUGGGUCAUCUGACAGUCCAGCCUGAGUUAAUCUAGAGAAUAAGAGAAACUCAGUCAGCUGAUCCCGCCCCAGUAGCCCUCAAGAACGAUGCAAAAUAGGGAGUUAGCUCAGAAUUCUGAGUCUCUGCCGAUAGGUUACUCUAAUUCCAGGACAGGGUGUGUGUUCCUGGUGACAGUGAGUUAAAGAGAGAUAUCAUGACAGAGGCCUAUAGCUCAAAGUUUGCCAUGCAUCCCGGAAGCACUAAAAUGUAUAAAAGUAUGCGACCCCGGGUUUGGUGGAAUGGGAUGAAAAGAGACAUAACUGACUUUGUAUCUAAAUACUUGAUAUGUCAGCAGGUCAAGGCAGAGCAUCAGCGCCCAGGCGGGUUACUUCAACCUUUACCGAUCCCAGAGUGGAAGUGGAAACAUAUCACCAUAGACUUCGUGACAGGGUUACCUGAGGCACGCUCAGGACAUGAUGCCAUUUGGGUAGUUGUUGACCGGCUUACCAAGUCUUCCCACUUCUUAACCAUCAGGAUGACCGAUCUCUUAGAUAAAUUGGCAAUAAUGUAUGUCCGAGAAAUAGUCAGAUUGCAUAGAGUCCCAGUGACAGUGGUGUCUGACAGGAACCCUAGGUUCACUUCUUGGUUUUGGAGCAGCUUUCAGCAAGUCAUGAGAAUGAAGCUGUCCCUCGGUACUGCCUUCCACCCUCAGACUGAUGGACAGUCAGAAAGGACAAUCCAUACACUUGAGGAUAUGCUCCGAGCUUGUGUCCUUGACUCUGGGGGCCAUUGGGACGACCAUCUACCCCUGAUAGAGUUCGCUUACAACAACAGCUAUCAAGCGAGUAUUGGCAUGGCUCCGUAUGAGGCGUUAUAUGGGCGCCCAUGCAGAUCACCGAUUUGUUGGAAAGAAGUGGGCGAUAGAAAAUUGUUCGGCCUGGAGCUGAUAGAGGAGACUGCAUUUAAAAUAGUUAAGAUCAAAAAGAGUAUUCAGACGGCUCAAAGUAGGCAGAAGAGUUAUGCGGAUACGCGAAAGAGAGAUUUACCAAUUGAGGAAGGCGACUGGGCGUUCCUUAAGGUCAUUCCUUUUAAGCAAAUCAGUAGGUUCGGCAAGAGGGGGAAACUGAACCCCCGAUUUAUCGGACCAUUUGAAGUCUUAGACAGGAUUGGUACUGCUGCCUAUAGACUAGCACUACCUUCAGAACUUUUUAAGGUCCACAAUGUGUUUCAUGUGUCUAUGCUAGCAAGUACAACUCGGACCCCUCUCAUGCUUGGGCCACGAACCUCUUCCACUCUGGGAGGAUUUAUCCUAUGAUGAAAUACCAGUCGGCAUUGCAGAUCAAAAGAGUAUAUUACUCCGCAACUGGGAGAUAUCCUUUGUGAAAGGUCAUAUGACAGAACCACACACCAAAGGGAGGCCACAUGGGAGCUAGAAUCAGACUUUAUUUUUAUUUUUAUUAAUUAUUAUUAUUUUUUAUAUAAAUAUAAUUAUUAUUUAUAUGAUUUUAAUUUAAUUUAUUUAAAUUUAAUUAAUUUAAUAAUAAUAAUAAUAAUAAUGGUAAAAAUUGGUUAGGGAUUUAAUUGAAAAUAAUUUUAGAGAAAAAGUGUGAAAAUUUGGGUUAUGGAGAUAUUUUUGAAAGAAAAAUCAGAAAUCGGAGGGCAAAACGCAAUUUAAAAAAGUUACGCCACAUCAGCUACCCGGUCAACAGCCCCGACCAACCAGGACAUGCCAAGUGGCAGAGGCGUUGACGCGGGAGGAGUCACGUGGGCAAUCCGCGUGCGCAUGAUCGAACGGUUGAGAACCGUUCCCGCGCGCACGGACGACCCAGAUCAAAAAUACGCAUGGACGACUCAGAUUGCAUCGCGCACGGACGGUCUAGAUUGAAUCGCGCACGAAUGGCCAGAUUGAAUGUGAUGAACGGCUCAAAUUCACUCCCUAUUUAAUCGCGAUCGGACGGUCCAGAUUAAAAGCGAUGGACGGCCCAGAUCAAAAGCGAAUGAGUAUAAAUAACUCCAUCCACAUCCAACCCUAGCCGCCAGAGCCCCCCACCGGAGAAGACAGCCCAGCCGCCGGGGAGCCGACCGCCGCUGUAUUGGAGCAAUUUUUGACUGCCAAACGAGAUAAAAAUUUAUCCUCUUGCAUGAAAUUCAAUUUUAAACCCACCCAUGGUAAAAUCAAAGUGAAAGAAGUGGCCGAUUGGCCAAAAAACGCCGCCGAAGCUAGGCGGCGCCACCACGGGGUGUUUCAGAAAAUGCCUCUGAUGAGGCCCUUCUCGAUUCCCGUUCGAUGUGAUUUUUUUACUGUUGGGACCACCGUUUUCUUCUCUAUAGGUUGACCGAAGCAAAACACCCAACCGCAACGUGAGCCAGAGGAGCCACCGCACCGGAGAGCUCCACUGCCGGUGAGUUUCAGUUUUCUGCAUUUUUUCGGCCCACCAAGGGCCCUAAGUGUAUUUUCUCGCAGGAACCGGUACAAGUUCGGCUGAAUUCAGCCGCUGGAGCAUGGCGGAGCCACCGUCGCCGGAGCAUGGUGGAGCCACUGUCGCUGGAGCAUGGCGGAGCCACCGUGCCGGAAUUUCAAAAUUGGUCAAGUAGGUGCUGGGUCUGAUUUUUGGGUUAUUUGGGACACUUGUAGGUACCGUAAGCGUGUUUCAGUUUUCGAAUGAAAAUUCAGGAAAUCCAGGGACCGUCCGAGGCGCAGUAACCAUCUAGUUUUCGGUGUCGAAUCAAGUAGGGACCCCUCACCCUAUUUUCUAUCAUGGAAUUGAAGUUUGAAUAAAUAAUAAUACUUUAUUUUGUACAAAUUAAAUAGAUAUGCAUAAUUAAUUACGAUUGCUAAUAGAGCCUGAACCAGACAUAUUUCUCUGUCGAUUCCUGUUUGAUUUAUUUUGCAGUUUAAAUGUAUUAUGGUAUCUGGUUUAUCUAUUCUAUAGUUUUAAACGUAUGUAUCACUGCUUACUUCACUACUGUUUGAUUUUGAGAAUAUAAGAUAUGAUUGUAUUACUGGGUGCAUGUUUACUGUUUAUGUGAUUACGUUCAACUUGGUAAUGGAGACUAAGGACAAAUAGAAAUGAGAUGUGAUUUAAUAAAUGGAUAAGAUGACAGCCUUACUAGAUAUCCUGAGAGAUGGUGGAUGGACCGAGUUCAUAAGGAACCCUACCGUGAACGUUGUCUCAUACCG
rnacentral:lncRNA from 1 species